rnacentral:lncRNA from 1 species
CACUGUUCAGUCUUGGGCGUGGACUUGCAGCUCGACAACCAUGGACGUGCAGCUCAGACGCGUGCGUGCAGUGGUUCAGUCAGUCCAGUGCAAAUCCGACGACUCCUCUGGGUCCUCUCCAUCGUGCCCAUCACAUAGCAGUGCACUUAGGUGAGCCCAAUAUCUCACCCUUAUGCAGAUGCAGUCCAUUUGUUGUUUUUCUCCUAAGGUUCAAUGCACUGAUUUGAUUUUUUUUGAGACAUUAGUGCACUGAUUUCUGCAGGAAGGAAAUGUGGCGUAGGCCAGAGCUGCAGGAGAUGGUGGCUAUGCCGGAGGCCAUACACUACAAUGGCCGUGACACUGUCCAUGUGGGCCUUGUGUGACGCCCGGAUAAUCAUGCUACAGUAAUCUCACGUUAAUGGUGCCACGUCACCUUUGUCACUGUAAUUAAUCUCGGGUUAAUUCAAAACCGUUUCAAAUUUAAAUACUAAAUAAGUCAAACGACAAAAGUUUUCAAAUAUUAAAACAAAAAUGUUCGGGCUAUGUCAAUUAUUGCAUCGGUAAUUAUGGUGAAGUAAACACAU